AGGUCAUAAUAUGUUGCCUGUGUGACCAGCAAGGAGAGAAUCGAGCAUCAUGCCAGCACUGGAUAUGGGUACACACCACCUUAAUUUAUUCUUCAUCUGAAAGGACUUGCAAAUACAGGUGUCCAUGGAAGCAUCAAAGCAUCACCAGAUCUUUAUUAUGAACAUUUCAUCUAUCAUAGGGCCAGCCUAAUGUUUUUUGCUACUUAAGCUAGAUUGAUACACGUUGGCCACUACUCACCCUCAUAAAGAUGGGCUCCUUGAGGUGAAAGACACAAGAGAAAAAAGGCAAGAAAUUGAACACCAACCAUUAGUAAAACAAUUAUACAGCAAAAAACUAAAUUCCUCUUACAAACCCCAGA